AACUGUCAUAUCUGUAGGCAGAAGGAUUUAAAUCAUCAGUUUAUGGUAUGAUUUUACCAGGUAAUAAAGAUCUAGCAGUUUCUCUAUACUAACUACUGAGAGGCCUCUGAAAAGACUAUUUCAUGCAGAAUCCACACCCCUUCUGCAAAAAAAUCUGCUAACAAAUGCUGGGGGAAUUUACCAUUCAGUUUGUCUGACCUUGCCAGCUUGCAAAUAUUCUAGCUGCACAGCCAAGAAUGAACUCAACCUACUGACAUCUCAAUGUCUGAAAUACCCAUAAAGCAAUUGUUUAAAUCCAGCAUUACAGUAAGAUAUUAUUACUUCCUUUUCCAACAACAACUUACAAAGUACUAUGAAUAACUGAAGCUAACGACUUAUAAAUCUGUAAAUGGUCUGCAUUUGAAAUACUGCUGCUUUUCCUCUCCUUCAUUACCCUACUUACAUUCAGAGUUGUGCUCUGCCCCUACGGAGGAGGAGGGACAGCUGGCAGAUUUAUUUUGAUAUGAACUUUGGAAUUGCUCCUAUCCAUCCAAGACAGCCGUAAUUUAGCAAUCUUUAGCACCCAAGAGGCGGCUUGUAUUUUUUCCUAAGCUGUAUAGGACUGCAAGGGUUUGGCAGAGAAUUGGCUAGAGAGUACUUCUGAGUAAUGUUGUUAGAAUGAGCUGAGAAACACAGAACAUGAGAGACAUUCCAUUCUACAUGGUGACUUUCAGACAUAUAAAUAAUAAACUAAAGAAAAAAAUAACAGUGGUUGACUUCCCUGAGUCUAUUCUAGUCUGCAAACCCUUAGUUUAGAAAUAAAGAAACCCAGUCCCUUGAAAACCCCUGGAGGAAAUCUUGCUUAGCUUGUGCUUACUGUCAGUUCUUCCCUGUCUCAGAAACUUUUUUUCUCAGGAAGUUAAUUCUUGAACAAAAGCGAGGUAGGGAAAGAAGGUUCUGCUCAUUCCUGUUUCUCAAAGUCUUUUUGAAUGACCUUGUUCUUAGGCUCUUAAAACCUUCUUGUGCUCAGGUAGACUAUUUUAUUGUGCCUCAGCAACAAGUAUAAACCGGCUUGUUGGCAGGUUCGUUGCGGCCAAGCCUUUCCUCCUAAAGUGCUCUGUCAUUUGUUUGCAAUGUGCUUGCAGGCAGGGAAGAACAGCUGAAAGGUGCAAUUUGUUUUUGCUUUUGUAAUUGCGAACUUUAAAUCCAAAACUCCUCUCCAACAUGGGGUCCAACUGAAACUGAUGGAAACAAGCCUGUUGACCUCAGCGGGUUUUGAAUCAAGCCAGAGAAUCUGAAUCCACAUUUCUUAUAUUUACUUUGUAACAUUGAAUAGGAAUGGCUACUAAUUCAGUGGGUUAUUGCUCCCUGUGAAUGAGGUUUACAGAAUCAGAACUCAGAGAGAUGCAAAGACUGAGCAAGCUACACAGAUGUGGUCAGAAGUAAAGAAGUCGUUUAGUUCCAGGUUCUGUUCUUACACCAAGUGCUCAUAGGAAUGAACUGUUUAUCUGGACAUAAAAGAAUAAUGCAUAGUUGCAAAGGAGUUUGAAUAGUGCAGCUGGCAUGCAAAGUUACUUGUUUUCAAAUUACAGUAUACAAGUGCCUAAAGCACAGAUGCAGAGGUGGCAAAUCCACACCCAAGCUAUUCUGAUGGCAACAAAGCAAGACUUUGCGCACAGCCUGCAGAUGUAAUACCAAUGUUUUAACAGGCUUUCAUGUAAAUCUUUCAUCUUAAUCCAUAGUAAAACCCAUGACCAGGAAUACAGAAUUUCUCAGAGAACAUUUAAUAUUUCAGUUAUCAAUUUAAAUAAAAAUCUCUCAUUCUCUCUUUGAGAUGACGUUACUUCAGAGAACAAACUUAAAAUUAAAUGUCUAGUCUGGAAACGUGCACUUCUGUCUGGGACUGAUACAGAGUAUAUUGUUCAUGGGUGCACCCACUCUUCGUCUGGUGGCAUCUGAAGAAUAGUAGGGUAGGACAGAGACAUUUUUGGUAAAUUAGUGAACCUUUCCCUUGAAGACGAACACAUGCAUAAGUACAAGACAUUUGGAAUAAUCUUAUGCAUUACAACAGCAAAAAUGUUAAUCACCACAGAUACUUCUGCACUGUGGGGAUGACUAAACACAGUAAAUGCCAUCUGCAGCAUGGAAAACAGCCUCGCAGUAACGCGAAAUGGGGGGAGGAGAUGAACAAAGUGCUUCCCAGUGCCAAAUGCAUGACCUCACUGAUGUGGCCUUAGCACCGGGGAUCCAAGCUCGCAGGAGGAGCAAAAGCGCACAGAGCCAGGCAUGAAGUAUGCGGGGAGUGGCGGCCAGCACGGCCACUGCCUGGAAAACAAGCACACAGCAGCUCUGCUCAAGUCUUGGAAGAGGAGACCCUCUCCUACACUCCAUCCCUAUAGUCUUUUAAAACAACCAGAAUGAAUCGUUCAUCUCAUCGACACAAGAUGUAAACAAGUAACUUAAAUACAGAAGGUACACUUUACAUCUCAGUACAGCUUUGCAAUCUUUUUUUAAGAGGAAGCCACCAGUUCACCCAGGCCUGGUGAAAAUCAUGUUCAGUGUAGUGCCAUCUAUUGGUAAAAAACAAAAAUGCAGCUGAAUUCCCUACGUUAUUAAGCUUCCAGAGUAAUUUUUCCCAGGAAAGUUCUUCAAGACAUUUUCUCACUGUGGUGAUUCUCGCAUUAUUUCUAUAUUAAUCUCUGUUUGCUUUAAAUGCAUGCAUCCCAUAUAGAAGAAAAAAAACAAAAAGUCCACUUACUCUAGCAUCUACCACAUCAGACACUGCCUGAAUAUUCCAGGCACUGCAAAGCUAUGUCAAAAAGCUUGCACAAACUCUGGCACAAACAUUUCAGUAUUUUAAGCUUUCCUGGUACAUGUUUGGCACUAUCUGUACUCAUUGUCUGUGAAUUUGCUGCUUACGAAUUGUGCUGCUGUCUCCAUCUCAUGAAACAAACCCUUUAAUUUGCUUGUGCAUAUUUAUAUACAAACAUAUAUAUAGAACCCUACAUAUAUAUACAAUUAUGUGAGUACAGAAUCAUAUUAAUACGAUAUGAAUUAAGUGAAUGGUAUCGUAUAACUAUCGAGUUUCUCCCAUGUGCAAUGACUCCCAGCCAAACCACAUCAUCUCACUGUAUACCUGCCCCGUCAGGUCUACCUGCCCCCUCACAAUACCAGUGAGCAACAGUUGGGAGCUACCGGGAAGAAAUAAUUACAGCAGCAGAUGGUAUCUGUGGUCAGAGCAGCAACGAGCCUGCCUCUGAGGCAGUGCUGUCGUUACCCUGACUGCAAACUCUGUAUUGAGACAUUGCUCCGUAGGAGUGUCAAAACACCUAGAUGCCCUCUAAACCAAGCGUACUCAUCCUGCUUCCCCGUCUGCUCCAUCCCUCUUUCCUACGCGUUCCUCUAGCGCCACGUUAGACACCCUGAGCCGCUUCCUCUCGGGAGGAGACGGCUCACUUGGGGCUGGCAAAGGCACCCCUCAGUGCUGCAGCAGCUCCGCUCCCAGGCUGGCCUCCGGCGACUGCCCCGCAGCUCCGGGGUGACCCACCGAGCAGCCCUCUUCCACUUCUCCCAACCAUUACCCUGCACAACGUUCAACGCAGGAAUCACCUGGGAGCAAGUCUUUUGCAAUGUUUUUAAAAACAGCUCUUCCUUACUGGCAUUGGCAUGUCCCAAUAUUUCUUAGGCGGAGAUCUCGAGGGAAAAGCUGGCCUAAAUGUUUGCAUGUGUUAUGACUUUCAUGUGAGCCAUCACAAAUCUUGCCAAAAGGGCUGUAUCUCUACCUGCCGCUUCCUGUUAUGAUAGUAAGAGCUUCUAUUGCUACUGUCAGAGGAAAAAUAUUUUCUCUACCACCCUCGUACUGAGAAAAGAGCAGAAGACGAAUGUGUAAGGCAGUAGAAACCGGGCUGUCAAGCAAGCUUUUGAGAAGUUUCCGCUGUUGGCAGGGGACAGAGGACUCAAUCCCAUGCUUGCCAAAGUAAAAAUUACAGCUCCUACGGAUUUCUGUGGAAGCAGCACUUGGCCCGAAGCGAUUCCUCCCAUGCACAAGACGAGGGAACAGACCGCAGCAAUCGCCAAGCGUGGGGGGUCGCGCCGGCGUGGGACAGGCACACACAGCUCGUCAGAUCAAAGCCCUCCCUGCCCGAGAAGACCUGGCUGGAGGCACAGCAUACAGAAACAGUGCCAAGAGCGUUCGACACCGGCUACAGCAGAGCGGUUAAUUCGCAAAGCCAGCGACCUAAAACAAACUUAGGUCUUUAUUCUGUUUAUAUUCCUCACUUUGCCAGAGAGGAAAGGCGGAGAUACUAAAAAAUAGUGCCUGAAGAACCAUUUAUUUCCUAACUUUUUGCUUCGAGUUAUCACCUUCCCACUGCUUUAUAUGUCAAUACCUCACUUUACAUGACUAGUUAAUUUUCUGGAACACUGUGGCUGUAUCAUAGCCACAGGUAGCUCUAAAAUGCAUAUGCAAGAGUAUUUUCUUGCUUACAUGUUCCCUGUAAUUUUAUAAAAAUCAUUUAAAGACACACUUUCAAGCUGCCAUUUUUUAAAGAAAAAGGAGAAAGUAUUACUGACAACAGCACACACUACUACAGCUGACGUAAUUAAGAAAAGAAAUUACUAUUCACCCUUUCACAUAAACACGUAACAGCACUAACAACAACACUCGGGUUUCCAAGGUGCCGAAGGAGCCUGUGUGGCAGGUUAAUCCUACCAGGAAGAGAAACGAGCACUCACAGAGCCAAGAUCCUCUGACCUCGUAGGGCAGAGGCACAAUAGGCCAAUUAUCCAAGGCAGUCUUCACUCUUUGUAGCUGGAUUUUUUUUACUCACAUUAAAGCAAGCUUUUAUUUAUUUUUCUUUGUCAUUGUUUUCUAUUUGGAUAAUGUCAAUAAACCAAGUCGGCUUCAUUAUUAUAUUUAAAACAUUAUGCAGAUGUAUAUGAAUCAGAGAGGAAAACUGACUCCAGUGUUUUGGCGGCAUGCACCACGAGACUGUGCACAGUACACAGAUCUAACUGCCUUAACCCACUUAUUUUUCUUUGGCCUUCAUAUUUAUAAAAUUAAGCAUUUCAUGCAAUAGUUCUCUGGAAAAUCAAAGCCUUCCCAUGCCAAAAUGCUUAUAGGUUAUUUUAUUUUUGAUUAACAAAAUGCUGUGUUGGUAAUAAUGCUCGAAUCUAACCUUCUAGGUAGUUGCUAAUCAACCAGACAGAUUUCAUUUACCCUCCCCCAACAUAUAUUUGCUUUUAUCUAAGUCUUCAUAUGCUUCAUUAUUAUUGCUACUGUUGUAAUUUUUUUAUUAUGUAUUGAUUUUAUAAUUAACACACGAGGUUGUCUACAGAAGACAUAUUUGUCUCAGUAUCUAAGCAAUAAAACUAAAGAUGCGUAAAGGCAAAGAUACAUGCCCCAACAAGGAAGCCUGAGGAGCGCGCUGCCUUGGCGUUCCCUUCCAACCGUGACCCAAAUACCAGUGAAACCAAUGAAGUGACUUUCACUGUCUUCAACAGGCUCCAGGUUAGGCUGCAGGAGUCACCCGGUAUGCUGCUCUGGGUGCAAAGGGAUAACUGAAAGUGCCAAGGAAGGCUCACCGUCGGGUGAACAGUGAAAAUUUCAAAGCCCAACACUGAACUCCAGGGAUACGUCUGCAAACCCACUUUAAGGGAUGCAUCAAGUUGCCAGUUCACAAUUAUUCCCAAAUAUUUGGAUUCUGAGAAUAUGCAAAACUGUGUGAAAGAUGCAGGGAGAAAGUGAAAAGGGAAUUAAUCUUCCCUUUGGUUUUCCUCCCAGACUGUACAUUUUCUGAGACAGAGGUACUGUAGAUGUAGAAAGGUGUAGAAAGACACCACUCCUGCCUGUAAUUCUGACACCCACCUUCUAGCACACUUCCAAGCAGCAAGUAGUGCUACUUAAGCAGAUAGCUACAAACAGUAGGUGUCAUUUUGUCCCCAGAGCACCUUACAGGCACCAGACGUCACAGAGUGACGUUAAGCCCCGCCACUUGUGUCAGGGAUACAGCUGGGAACAUGCGAGCUCUCGCCCUACCGAAGCUCCAGCCUGUCUGCUCACGAGAUAAAUCCAUCCUUUUCCACCUCUUCUUUUUAAUUAAAAAAUAGAAAAAUCACAAAAUCUGAUUCAGUCAUUUUCUUUAGUUCACUAUUAUAUCUAUAUUUAUAAAAUUCUUGUGGAACUUCUCGAAGCCCGAGAACUCUCACAGCAAAGGAUGACAGCAGCAGCGUCAUGUCACACACAGAUACCGACCGCCUGAAAGACAAAACCACAAGCAAAGCGAGGUACUACACUACCUCCGUUCAAGGGUCUUAUGCAUUUAAAUUAAAACUGACCACUUGCUCCAAAAAGCAUAACAGCAGCAAUGUGUACAUUCGUUACACUCAAUCCACAAAGGCAAUAAGAUUUUAUCGACAUACAUGAAAUACAUCAUCAUCAUCAUCAUCAUACAUCACUGGAUUCCCACUGUGUGUUGAACACAACUUUCCACUCUAUAACUCAUAAUGUUUUUGGUGUCUAACAGUUUUUUAACUUAAGCUCCCUCUGUACAGUGGCUAAAAGUCACCUCUGGCUUUCUCCAAAGCUGUAACCUCUUAAAUUAAACGAUAUGCAAUGAA